rnacentral:rRNA from 1 species
GACGAACGCUGGCGGCGUGCUUAACACAUGCAAGUCGAACGGAAAGGCCCUGCUUUUGUUGCUUGCUCGAGUGGCGAACGGGUGAGUAACACGUGAGUAUCCUGCCCUUGACUUUGGGAUAACUUCAGGAAACUGGGGCUAAUACCGGAUAGGAGCUCCUGCUGCAUGGUGGUGGUUGGAAAGUUUCGGCUGUUGGGGAUGGACUCGCGGCUUAUCAGCUUGUUGGUGAGGUAGUUGCUUACCAAGGCUUUGACGGGUAGCCGGCCUGAGAGGGUGACCGGCCACAUUGGGACUGCGAUACGGCCCAGACUCCUACGGGAGGCAGCAGUGGGAAAUCUUGCACAAUGGGCGGAAGCCAGAUGCAGCAACGCCGCGUGCGGGAUGACGGCCUUCGGGUUGUAAACCGCUUUCGCCUGUGACGAAGCGUGAGUGACGGUAAUGGGUAAAGAAGCACCGGCUAACUACGUG